GACGUAGGGCGCGAGCGUUGUCCGGAUUUAUUGGGCGUAAAGAGCUCGUAGGCGGCUUGUCGCGUCGACUGUGAAAACCCGCGGCUCAACUGUGGGCUUGCAGUCGAUACGGGCAGGCUGGAGUUCGGUAGGGGAGACUGGAAUUCCUGGUGUAGCGGUGAAAUGCGCAGAUAUCUGGAGGAAUACCGGUGGCGAAGGCGGCAUCCUGGACCGAGAUUGACACUGAUGAGCGAAAGCUAGGGGAGCAAACGGG
rnacentral:rRNA from 1 species